AGGGGUGGCUUCGGCUACCCUGGAGACCGGCGGAUGGGUGAGUAACGCGUAGGCAACCUGCCUGGAGGACGGGGAUCACAUCGAGAAAUCGGUGCUAAUACCCGAUGAUGCAGCGGCCCCGCAUGGGGACAGUUGUUAAAGGUUUUCGAGCGCCUUCAGAUGGGCCUGCGUGUCAUUAGCUGGUUGGUGAGGUAACGGCUCACCAAGGCGAUGAUGACUAGGGGGUCUGAGAGGAUGAUCCCCCACACUGGGACUGAGACACGGCCCAGACUCCUACGGGAGGCAGCAGUGAGGAAUCUUGCGCAAUGGGGGCAACCCUGACGCAGCCACGCCGCGUGCCGGAAGACGGCCCUAUGGGUUGUAAACGGCUUUUACCAGGGAAGAACCCGGGGGAUUCGUCCCCCGCUGACGGUACCUGGAGAAUAAGCACCGGCUAACUCCGUGCCAGCAGCCGCGGUAAUACGGAGGGUGCAAGCGUUGUCCGGAAUCAUUGGGUGUAAAGGGUGCGUAGGCGGAAGCCUAAGUCGGGGGUGAAAUCCUGCCGCUCAACGGCAGAAUGGCCUUCGAUACUGGGUUUCUUGAGUCCGGAAGAGGUUGGUGGAAUUCGUGGUGUAGCGGUGAAAUGCAUAGAUAUCACGAAGAACACCGGUGGCGAAGGCGGCCAACUGGUCCGGCACUGACGCUGAGGCACGAGAGCGUGGGGAGCGAACAGGAUUAGAUACCCUGGUAGUCCACGCUGUAAACGAUGUAUGCUAGUUGUUGGCCCUUCGGGGUCAGUGACGCAGUUAACGCAGUAAGCAUACCACCUGGGGAGUACGUUCGCAAGAAUGAAACUCAAAGGAAUUGACGGGGGCCCGCACAAGCGGUGGAGCAUGUGGCUUAAUUCGAUGCAACGCGAAGAACCUUACCCAGGCUAAAUCCACGGUGACCGCUCCGGAAACGGGGUUUCCCUUCGGGGCACCAUGGUA
rnacentral:rRNA from 1 species